CGACGAGUGGCGGACGGGUGAGUAACGCGUAGGGAUCUGCCUCGUAGUGGGGGAUAACCUGGGGAAACUCAGGCUAAUACCGCAUAAGCUUUGCGAAGGAAAGCGGGGGACCUUUGGGCCUCGUGCUACGAGAUGAACCUACGUCGGAUUAGCUAGUUGGUAGGGUAACGGCCUACCAAGGCGACGAUCCGUAGCUGGUCUUAGCGGAUGGCCAGCCACACUGGGACUGAGACACGGCCCAGACUCCUACGGGAGGCAGCAGUGGGGAAUUUUGGACAAUGGGGGCAACCCUGAUCCAGCGAUGCCGCGUGGGUGAAGAAGGCCUGCGGGUUGUAAAGCCCUUUGAGUGGGGAGGAACGGUCAAGCUUUAAUACAGUUUGGCUUUGACGUAACCCACAGAACAAGCACCGGCUAACUCCGUGCCAGCAGCCGCGGUAAUACGGAGGGUGCGAGCGUUAAUCGGAAUUACUGGGCGUAAAGCGCGCGUAGGCGGUACGCUAAGUCAGCUGUGAAAGCCCUGGGCUCAACCUGGGAAUGGCAGUUGAUACUGGCGUGCUGGAGUGUGAUAGAGGGUGGUGGAAUUCCCGGUGUAGCGGUGAA
rnacentral:rRNA from 1 species